rnacentral:lncRNA from 10 species
AAUAGAAAUAAAGGAUGUGAUGGUGGAAUGGAGAUUCAGUUUUCAUUUGGUUCAUUAAUUCUAUAAUGCCAUAAAACAGGUAAUAUAAAAAGCUUCCAUGAUUCUAUUUAUAAGUACAUUAGAAGGAACUUUCAGGUGUUACUGUAAUUCCUCAACGUAUUGUUUCGACAGCACUAAUUUAAUGCCGAUGUAUUCUAGAUGAAGUUUUACAUUGUUGAGCUAUCACUGUUCUCUUGGGAACUGAACUCACUUUCCUCUUGAGACUUUGGAUUUGACAUUGCAUUUGACCUUUUAUGUAGUAAUUGACAUGUGCCAGGGCAAUGAUGAAUGAGAAUCUACCCCCAGAUACAAGCAUUCUCAGCAACUCUUGAUUAUCCAUAUAGAGUCAAAUGGUAGGCAUUUCCUAUCACCUAUUUCCGUUCAACAAGAGCACUACAUUCAUUUAGUUAAACGGAUUCCAAAGAGUAGAAUUGCAUUGACCACGACUAAUUUCAAAAUGCUUUUUAUUAUUAUUAUUAUUAUUAUUAU